CAGUAGCCGCGGUAAUACGGAGGGUGCAAGCGUUAUCCGGAUUUAUUGGGUUUAAAGGGUCCGUAGGCGGACUUAUAAGUCAGUGGUGAAAGCCUGUCGCUUAACGAUAGAACUGCCAUUGAUACUGUAAGUCUUGAGUAUAUUUGAGGUAGCUGGAAUAAGUAGUGUAGCGGUGAAAUGCAUAGAUAUUACUUAGAACACCAAUUGCGAAGGCAGGUUACCAAGAUAUAACUGACGCUGAGGGACGAAAGCGUGGGUAGCGAACAGGAUUAGAUACCCGCGUAGUCCCUGUCUCUUAUAC
rnacentral:rRNA from 1 species